CCUCGGUGGGCUGCAGUGGGGAAUAUUGGACAAUGGGCGAAAGCCUGAUCCAGCCAUGCCGCGUGUGUGAAGAAGGCCUUCGGGUUGUAAAGCACUUUCAGUGGGGAAGAAAGCCUUGGGGCUAAUACCCUCGAGGAAGGACAUCACCCACAGAAGAAGCACCGGCUAACUCCGUGCCAGCAGCCGCGGUAAUACGGAGGGUGCGAGCGUUAAUCGGAAUUACUGGGCGUAAAGCGCGCGUAGGCGGUCUGAUAAGCCGGUUGUGAAAGCCCCGGGCUCAACCUGGGAACUGCAUCCGGAACUGUCAGGCUAGAGUGCAGGAGAGGAAGGUAGAAUUCCCGGUGUAGCGGUGAAAUGCGUAGAGAUCGGGAGGAAUACCAGUGGCGAAGGCGGCCUUCUGGACUGACACUGACGCUGAGGUGCGAAAGCGUGGGUAGCAAACAGGAUUAGAUACCCGUGUAGUC
rnacentral:rRNA from 1 species